rnacentral:rRNA from 1 species
CAAGUCGAACGCGAAAGUCCCCUUCGGGGGACAAGUAGAGUGGCGUCCGGGUGAGUAACACGUAGGUAAUCUACCUUCGGGUGGGGAAUAACGCAGGGAAACUUGCGCUAAUACCGCAUAAUGCAGCGGCACCACAUGGUGACAGUUGUUAAAGCGGGGGAUUUUCGAACCUCGCGCCUGAAGAGGAGCCUGCGGCAGAUUAGCUAGUUGGUAAGGUAAUGGCUUACCAAGGCGACGAUCUGUAACCGGCCUGAGAGGGCGGUCGGUCACACUGACACUGACAUACGGGUCAGACUCCUACGGGAGGCAGCAGUCGGGAAUUUUGGGCAAUGGGCGAAAGCCUGACCCAGCAACGCCGCGUGAAGGAUGAAAUCCUUCGGGAUGUAAACUUCGCAAGAAUGGGAAGAAUGAGUAGGGGCUAAUACUCCCUAUGAUGACGGUACCAUUUGUAAGCUCCGGCUAACUCCGUGCCAGCAGCCGCGGUAAUACGGGGGGAGCAAGCGUUGUUCGGAUUUACUGGGCGUAAAGGGCGCGUAGGCGGCCAGCGCAAGUCAGUUGUGAAAUCUCCGGGCUUAACUCGGAACGGUCAACUGAUACUGCGCGGCUAGAGUGCGGAAGGGGCAACUGGAAUUCUCGGUGUAGCGGUGAAAUGCGUAGAUAUCGAGAGGAACACCUGCGGCGAAGGCGGGUUGCUGGGCCGACACUGACGCUGAUGCGCGAAAGCCAGGGGAGCGAACGGGAUUAGAUACCCCGGUAGUCCUGGCCUUAAACGAUGGAUGCUUGGUGUCUGGAAUUUUAUAGUCUCCGGGUGCCGCAGCUAACGCGUUAAGCAUCCCGCCUGGGGAGUACGGUCGCAAGACUGAAACUCAAAGGAAUUGACGGGGACCCGCACAAGCGGUGGA